UUCAAGGCUCUUUAAUCCAAUAGCAUGUAAGCAGGUCUUCAAGGCUCUUUAAUGAAAAGCCGUUUUAGGUUUCAAAAAAGUGUCCACCUGGCGCCUGGCACCUUUCCAAGAAGGGGAAAGUGGGAAAAUGGUUUAGGUUGGAAAGUGGAAAACUUUCCCCUUCUUGGAAACCUAAACCAUUAAACAUAGAGAAGGCGAAGAUGGGAGAGAAGGAAUGGUACUUCUUUUCUAGAGAGAUAGGAAGUACCCAACGGGCAUGAGAACCAAUAGAGCAACUGAAGCUGGGUACUGGAAAGGAUAAAGAGAUCUACAGGGGUAAAGCUUGUCUUGUUGGGAUGAAGAAGACCCUUGUUUUCUACAGAGGGAGAGCGCCCAAGGGGGAGAAAACCAACUGGGUCAUGCAUGAAUACAGAUUGGAAGGAAAAUUCUCUUAUUAUAACCUCCCUAAAUCUGCAAAGGAUGAAUGGGUCGUCUGUAGAGUAUUUCACAAGAACACGGGCGCCAAGAAAAGCACAGUUUUCCUCUUAAUUUUGAGUGCAAAAAAAAAUAAAACCAAAAAACCGAACCGCGGUUAACCGAUCCACCGGUACAUCGGUUCGGUUUCGGUUUAGAUUUAAAAAAACCGAUCAAGUUGGUUCAGUUCAAAAAAAAACCCCACGGUUCGGUUAACCAAACCGUGAGCACCCCUAGUUAAAUCAGAAUGUCCUUUAAGUUUUUGUGUGGUUACAAUAGGCUGAAACUUAGUUACUAGAUUAGAAAGCAGAUAGAAAGCAAGAAGUCUUAGUGUUAUUUUUCUGUUUAUUGAGGAAGUUGGAGUCACCUGAGCUCCUGGGUACUUGACUAUGAAAUCCACAUGAUUGCCUCCAUGUUAGUGGCUCAAUGUCAGCAUGAUGCUAGAAUUUUUAGAGUGGUCUUCCUUAGGAAAACUCUAUUUUGACAAUGAUUAUAGACUCUUUUAUCACAAUUGAAUAAUAAUAUAGUUUUCUGGUAUGGAAUCAAUAAACCAUGCACAUUGGCAGUGGAAGGAAUUUGGCAGGGCAAAGGUUUUUAGCCUUGAAUUUCCAUGUUUACUGUAAUUAGAAAAGACCAUGGGAUAUUAGUCAUUUAAAUUCUAUAGAAUCAAGGCGAAAGUGGAAUUCAAUUUCAAAUCUACUAUGAUUCAAAGUUUCAAACACAGUCUAAUAGUUGAUUAAGUACAAAAAUUUCCUUUUUGGUUUGAGAAUCAUAUAAAAUGGAUAUCUGGAUUUUAGGAAAUGAAGAGUCAUUUCCCUGUUUCUCAUAUCUGUGUUGGUUAUAGUAUCUAGGAAUCAUAGAUCAGCCACCUUUCCUUGUAAAAUUUCUGAUCAUCCUUGACGUUGGGUGGGCUUGGAACUAGUCAUGCUCCCUUGCUUUCAUUUUCAAGUUUUCUAGUCUUAUUAAGUUGUCGAUGAACUAUCACAAAUAAUCCCCUUUUAGAUAGAACUAGCCUUAGUGGUAAGCACAACUCUGUCUGCCCAAGAGAUGGUUAUAAAAAAUAUCUGGCCUACCAGUUUGUAAUUUCAAAGUUUCCCCAACAACAACUAACAACACUUUGUAUAGGGAUCAUUUUCAUCAAUAUUUUAAAAACUGAACAUAGCAUCAAAUUGGAAAGGCUGAUUCUGGUUUGACUGUUUGACAGAACUAGGCAAUCGGUUAAAAAAUAUUUCAUUGUUCAACUUGCCUUACCAAAGUCAACUGUUUUGAACUAUAGUUCUGGUGGUUCUUGGUUUGGGUUCACUUGUCUGGUUUGGAUAUAUUCAGGUGGAGGUGCCAUGGUGCUUGUUGUAAAUGCAAAAUUAGAUGCAUGGACAA